AGAUUUUUUCAUCAAGCACUCCAGAUAAAGAAUCUCCAAGUUAGGUUUUUAUAGCAAAAUUUGUUUUGUCCCAGAAUUUAUAAUGCAAAAGAAAAUUCAAAGCAAGGUUUGGACUGUAAUGAUAAAGAUUUCUGUAUAACCUGACAAAGUCUGUCAUACAUUUAUCCAUUACAAAGCAAGGUUUGGACUGUAAUGAUAAAGAUUUCUGUAUAACCUGACAAAGUCUGUCAUACAUUUAUCCAUCACAAAGAAAGGUUUGGACUGUAAUGAUAAAGAUUUCCGUAUAACCUGACAAAGUCUGUCAUACAUUUAUCCAUCACAAAGAAAGGUUUGGACUGUAAUGAUAAAGAUUUCCGUAUAACCUGACAAAGUCUGUCAUACAUUUAUCCAUCACAAAGAAAGGUUUGGACUGUAAUGAUAAAAGAUUUCCAUAUAACCUGACAAAGUCUGUCAUACAUUUAUCCAUCACAAAGAAAGGUUUGGACUGUAAUGAUACAGAUUUCUGUAUAACCUGACAAAGUCUGUCAUACAUUUAUCCAUCACAAAGAAAGGUUUGGACUGUAAUGAUAAAGAUUUCUGUAUAACCUGACAAAGUCUGUCAUACAUUUAUCCAUCACAAAGAAAGGUUUGGACUGUAAUGAUAAAGAUUUCUGUAUAACCUGACA